AUCUGUCUUAUAGAAUCUAGUUGAAAAAUAUUUUCCAAAAUGGGCUCUGCAUCAAAUCAGAACAAUCCAACUCUCAUAAAGUGUUGAUAAAGAAAACCAAAGGGUGCACCUGUGAUAGAAAGAUGUGCCUGUGUUUGGCUGCAGCCUUUUUUGGCUUUUAACAGAAGUUACUGGUUGAAACCGAACACGUUGACCAUGUGAGAGGUCACGAUAGUCUCUUAUCAUUUAGACAAGUGAAUAUACCACUCUGUCUCUGUUAAAGUUUAAAAAUGUGAGGAAGUGAUGUUCACAGCUUGAUUUCAGGACACUGAAAAUAAAGAAAUCCAGACAGUAUAAAAUAGUGUCAAAUAUUUUGACACAAUAUUUGCCUCAAUAGAGACAAAAAUAACUAUUUACAACAAAUUAUUUUUUUAACUUCAGGGAGAAUGAGACCAGUUUGAAGUCAUUUAUAUACAGUUUAACACUGAAAAGGCUUACUUGUGUAUGGACUCUUAUUUGUUUUUCAUAAUUUCUAUGUUUGCCUGUCUUUAUCUUGAUACCGUUUAGUAACUGUUGUACUGAUAUGUUUAACAGAAGCAGUGUCUGUAAACACCCAACAGAAGUCUAUCAGCACAAAGCUUUCCACUGACAGCAAUGGGAUAACACCUUGUUGUGGAGCAGUUUUGGAAGGUCUGUUUACAGAUAUGAUUACACUUCUGGUUUUCUUCAGGAAGAAAGGCAUGACCAUUUCUCAGACCCAUUCUGUGAAGAUAACGUGUUUCCAACUGCUUAUUUGGAGGCUUUUUAGUAUCUUUUCUUUGAGAUUAUCACCAACAGCUCAACUCUAAAUGCAUUGCUAGUCAUUAGUAAUAUAAGUACCUGGGUCAUCACCUUACUCACAUUUCCAGGUAAGGUAGAAAACAGAUACUAAUUUAUUUAAAAAGUCUGCAGCUGUAUAGUUGUCCUAAUGGAUGUAGUGUAGCUGAUGUCUUAAUGGGUGCUAGCACUGGCUAUUUGGCCAAUGGCUAUUCUAAUUUAGAUCCUGGUUCUGAUUUUAGACCAGCUGCUGAGAGAAUUCCUGCAGAACUGUGCUAGUUUCUACCUCCUGAUAGCUACAUUGUUUAUAGGCAAGAUUUUCAGAAAAGCUACAGAUGCUUUGUUUGACACUAUGAGAAGGACAUGAACUUACAGAUUCUGUGCAAUUGCAAGGUGUCUCCAGCCAAGCACCCAGAAUUUCUAGUCAGUUUUAGAAUUAUGGCUUAUUUCAUUAAAAGGCAGUAAGUUGUAUCAUAAAACUAAUUUAUUAAAAACUUACUAUUUUUGAGUUAUGUACCUUAAGCAUUUUGCAAUCUUUUGACUUAAUGUAUUUUUCUGCAGCUACUUGAGUAACGUAAGAGGGAACAGCUUGUUUCCUUUGGAAUGGAGAUACUAUUUGUGAAAUAGCCUUUCAAGGAGUGAGUCACUGGUGAAAGGAGGAAGUUCAUUAAAUAUGCACUCAUGAAAACUGUGAGGAGAAAUUGAGUUUACAGUUUGUCAGAAAGAAAACUGGGCAUUUUAAAAAUCUGGUAAUAUUAAAUAUGGGAUCUUCAGCUGUAAUGUGAAAUAAAUUCCUUCAUUUUGCUAUGAUAUAGGUGGCA
rnacentral:lncRNA from 1 species